rnacentral:rRNA from 1 species
GACGAACGCUGGCGGCGUGCUUAACACAUGCCAGUCGAACGGAAAGGCCCCCAUCUUGGUGGGGGUGCUCGAGUGGCGAACGGGUGAGUAACACGUGGGUGAUCUGCCCUGUACUUCGGGAUAAGCUUGGGAAACUGGGUCUAAUACCGGAUAGGACCAUGGUUUAGUGUCUCAUGGUGGAAAGAUUAUUGUUUUGGUGCAGGAUGAGCUCGCGGCCUAUCAGCUUGUUGGUGGGGUAAUGGCCUACCAAGGCGUCGACGGGUAGCCGGCCUGAGAGGGUGGACGGCCACAUUGGGACUGAGAUACGGCCCAGACUCCUACGGGAGGCAGCAGUGGGGAAUAUUGCACAAUGGGCGCAAGCCUGAUGCAGCGACGCCGCGUGGGGGAUGACGGCCUUCGGGUGGUAAACUCCUUUCGUUAGGGACGAAGCCACGCUUUUGGGGUGUGGUGACGGUACCUUUGUGAAGAAGCACCGGCUAACUACGUG